UACGAAGGGGGCUAGCGUUGUUCGGAAUUACUGGGCGUAAAGGGCGCGUAGGUGGCUUUGAUAGUCGGGUGUGAAAUGCCUGGGCUUAACCCAGGAACUGCACUCGAAACUCCAAGGCUUGAGUGUGGGAGAGGUUGGUGGAAUUCCCAGUGUAGAGGUGAAAUUCGUAGAUAUUGGGAAGAACACCGGUGGCGAAGACGGCCAACUGGACCACAACUGACACUGAGGCGCGAAAGCGUGGGGAGCAAACAGG
rnacentral:rRNA from 1 species